rnacentral:rRNA from 1 species
UACGUAGGGUGCGAGCGUUAAUCGGAAUUACUGGGCGUAAAGCGUGCGCAGGCGGUUUUGUAAGCCAGAUGUGAAAUCCCCGGGCUCAACCUGGGAAUGGCAUUUGGGACUGCAAGGCUGGAGUACGGCAGGGGAGACUGGAAUUCCUGGUGUAGCAGUGAAAUGCGUAGAUAUCAGGAGGAAUACCGAUGGCGAAGGCAGGUCUCUGGGCUGAUACUGACGCUCAUGCACGAAAGCGUGGGGAGCGAACAGG